AUUACUCCUACGGGAGGCAGCAGUGAGGAAUUUUCCGCAAUGGGCGAAAGCCUGACGGAGCAAUACCGCGUGAGGGAGGAAGGCUCUUGGGUUGUAAACCUCUUUUCUCAAGGAAGAACACAAUGACGGUACUUGAGGAAUCAGCAUCGGCUAACUCCGUGCCAGCAGCCGCGGUAAUAAUC
rnacentral:rRNA from 1 species